GUGCAUAUGAGCGUGUGUGCAUCCGUAUGCGGAAAUCUGCUGUUUUCCACUAUCGCUGAUAUAUCACUGACGUAAUGGAUUAUAGAAACACCAUGAAUAAAAAUAAUGAAUUAAAACCUUAUUGGAUUCUGGCAGGAAAAUGGUGAUGCUUUGGUAGAAAUGCAGCGGCGUUGCGUAUGCUGGAUAUUCGAGGUGAGUUUGACUAGCCCAGAGGCAAGUGUCGUGCCAGAGCAAGGGUAAUCUAUCCA
rnacentral:lncRNA from 1 species